rnacentral:rRNA from 1 species
UACGUAGGGGGCAAGCGUUAUCCGGAUUUACUGGGUGUAAAGGGAGCGUAGACGGCGCGGCAAGUCUGAAGUGAAAGGCAGGGGCUUAACCCCUGAACUGCUUUGGAAACUGCCAUGCUAGGGUGCUGGAGAGAUAAGUGGAAUUCCUAGUGUAGCGGUGAAAUGCGUAGAUAUUAGGAGGAACACCAGUGGCGAAGGCGGCUUACUGGACAGUAACUGACGUUGAGGCUCGAAAGCGUGGGGAGCAAACAGG